CACACUGAGACUGAGAUACGGACCAUACUCCUACGGGAGGCAGCCUCUAAGAAUCUUCUACAAUGGACGAAAGUCUGCUAUAGCGAGGCCGCGUGGGUGAUGAAGGCCGGAAUGUUGUAAAGCCCUUAUCUAUUCGCGGCAUAAAGUGUGGAGGCAAUGCCACACUGAUGACGGUAGGGUCGGACUAAGCCCCGGACAAUUACGUGCCAGCAGUCGGGGUAACCACGUAUGGGGCGAGCGUUGUACGACAUCAUUGGGCGUAAAGGGCGCCUAGGCGGAUAUGCAAGCUAGGUGUGAGAGACCGUAGCUCAACUGCGGGAGCGCGCUGAGAACUGCGUAUCUUGAGUUCAAAAGGGCAAGCUGGAAUGCCCGGUGUAGGGGUGAAAUCUGUCGAUAUCUGGAAGAACAUCAGUGGCGAAGGCGAACUUCUGGCUUUGAACUGACGCUGUAAGCGCGAAAGCGUGGAGAGCGAACCGGAUUAGAUACCCUGGUAGUCCCAAGCUGUAAACGAUGUGCAAUAGGUUUUAGGCCGCUGAAGGCUCAGUACCGUAGCUAACGCGAUAAGUGCACCGCCUGGGGAGUAUGCUCGCAAGUGUGAAACUCAAAGGAAUUGACGGGGGCCCGCACAAGCGGUGGAGUAUGUGGUUUAAUUCGAUGCAGCGCGAAGAACCUUACCAGGGCUUGACAUCCCUCGAAUCCUCUUGAAAGAGAGGAGUGCCUUCGGGAGCGAGGAGACAGGUGGUGCAUGGCUGUCGUCAGCUCGUGUCGUGAGAUGUUGGGUUAAGUCCCGCAACGAGCGCAACCCACGUCCUUAGUUGCCAUCAUUAAGUUGGGCACUCUGGGGAGACUGCCGGGGACAACUCGGAGGAAGGUGUGGAUGACGUCAAGUCAUCAUGCCCCUUACGUUCUGGGCUACACACGUACUACAAUGCUUCGGACAAAGGGCAGCGAGCGUGCGAGCGUGAGCUAAUCUCAUAAACCGAGGCACAGUUCAGAUUGCAGGCUGCAACUCGCCUGCAUGAAGGAGGAAUCGCUAGUAAUCGCCGGUCAGCAUACGCCGCUGAUACGUUCCCGGGCAUUGUACACACCGCCCGUCACACCAUGGAAGUUGGCCACGCCCGAAGUCGUUACUCUAACCGCUUGUGCGGAGGAGGACGCCGAAGGUGGGG
rnacentral:rRNA from 1 species